UUCAAGCGAAGCACUGGCCGGUAAAAAGUUUUCAUACUUUUUAUUAUUCUAUGUAUUUUAAUUUAAGAAUCUCUAUAGAAAAAAGGCAAAUCUUCCUUUUUAUCAUUUGAUUUAUUCAUUUAUAGUCAAGUUUUUUGUAGAAAUGCUAAAUAAAUGUAACCUUGGUGUAGUUUCUAAAUUGUUCAAAGUAUUGUCACUUAAUUUCGAAAACCCGGUGCACCUACUCAUAAACUUCGAAACUGUACUCAAACAUUGAAAUUGCUGUUUAAGGGCUAAUUGUAAUAAACAGUUGACUACCACAGUUGGCUGCCAGACACCUGGAGGACGUAGGACGUUCGUGGCCUCGAAGACUAAUCUAAGAGUGCGCGCUGUUGAGAAUAAAGAAUGCAGGCAACUGAAGUCUACUUGAAGGCAGUGCUUCACUGCAUUAAAUUAAGGUACCUGGUACAAGCGAGAAGUUUUAGCUGACAUUGGUAUUACUGACAGAAUUCGAUUUAUUCGAAUAUUUUAAACAAAGAAUAGAGAUUUCCCUUAGAACAUCGUAAUUUGACCUACAAGUUAGGAAGGAUUAUAAUGUCAAUGGACAUUUUUUAUUUUGGUAAUUUAAAGCAACAUUUUAUAUAAACUUUAAAUCUAAUGUUGAUAAGUAGUCAGCAGAAAUAGUAAAUAUUUUCACAUGCAGACAUUUUAUAUACAUAGAGGUGGGACAUUGUAAACUAUUAUAAUUCCAGUUCAAUAAGCCACCUCAUAUUAUUAUUGUCAUGUUAUGAAAUAUUUCAUAAGAUUGUAAUAAGCUCCUUUUAUCAUUAGUGUUAAUGAUAGGAAUUUGCUUCAGCCAGCACACAAAUGAUAGAAUAAAUAAUGUUUAUUAUUUAUUUACAUUUAAAUUAAUAUUACUGUUUAAGUUGUUACCGACAGUGCGGCAGCCAAAAAUACAAAACACUUUUUUUUAUCAAACUAUCACAUCUUUAUUUAAAACUUAUUUACAAAAAUAUAUAGAAAAAAACUCAAAACUAUCUGGAUCACAUCUUGACUUCUUAUCCUUCUUUUUUUCUAUAUAUUGUCUCUAACCAGCGAUAAAUGCCUUGGUGGCUAGUAUGCAACCACUUUCGCUGUAUACAUACUGCUUAUCAGCCAAAGAGGUUGUAUUUUGCACUCAACAAUUACAAUAUGUGUAUAUAAACACAAGAUAUUAUUUUUAACUCAACAUAACAUUGUUCUCUCUAUUUCGUACAACUGAAUUCAAUAUAAACUACAUGUCAUAUUUAAAUUAUUAUUAACAGCCAGUCUUACAAUGCAACCUCUUACACAAAGCAGGUUUCAUUUAUGACAGUUAAUAUAAAGAACACAUGUUUUAUAGAUAUGUAGAGGAGGCUGUGUGUUGGACGGCUAUUUUCUAUCGUCCCAGGCUCUGGAGGUGUAGGGCUAUUGAAACACUGUCUUUACAUAGUUAAUAAGUAUGUUAUAAGCAUUAAACAAUCACAUUUUAUACAAUCUCCUACUUCAUAUAUCAUAUGAUGUUACAUGGUACAUAUUGAGAUGAGAAGUCAUUCUUUAACAUCAGUGGUACAAUUCCUUAUAAAAUUUAUAUGCACAUUAUUCUAGUAUUAAAAAAAACAUUCUACUUGUGUAAAGUGUUGCCUACACUAACCUUAACUCCUUUUCAACUUAUAUAAGAAAGUUCCUCAACAGCUUCUCUAUCUAUUAGCUACUUAAUCAACUUCUCUAUUUUUAUUUAAAAACCUUAAACACCUUCUCAACUUCUACCUAAGAUUAACUUCCUUAUGUUCACUCAUAAUCAACAUUAAUCUCCUACUUGACCCCGUAAACUUCUUUAAAUUUAUUAAAAAAAGCUUUUUGACUCUAUCUUCUUAAAGAGCCAUCUUCUUCCGAAGUUAGGCGAUCAUUAGGGCGACUUUCGUUCUUGACACGUGUAUAUUUAAAUCAAACGUGUAUAUUUACAUAUAUUGGGAGUGGUGUAAAUAUCUGCUAAAAUAAAAACCCAAAGUUGGAAAUAAAUGUUUAUUGCGUAACCUCAAUUUGUUAUGUAUCAUACAUGUACAUAUUUCCAUUUUCAAUAGUGGCGUCCUCGAACAGCGUUUUCUAGAUUUCCAAUAUUUCUAUUAAACGGCCAGUCUUAGAGAAACGAUGCAGAGAACCUGAAAGCAUAACAAAUUUUACUGUACAACAUAUUAUACGCUUCUAAUUACCGCCCUCAGUUUCGCGUAGCAAACUGUGCAUGAGUGAAGCUGCGAGCAGUUGGUACUUUUAAACAUUGUGACAAGGCACUAACAACUCAGCCUGACUGAGUUAAAUUUUUAAUAUGGGUUAAUAAUUAUCGCCCGCUGAUUAUGUAGUCACCAACCUCUAAUUCUAAUUCUAAAUUAUAUCGUUAGGACAAUUUGUUCAAAUUCGAAAAUCACAUUGGUACAUGGCAGGAUUUCAAGUCAAGAUACUUGACUCCUGAGCCAUCUAAGCUCAUAGGCAUAGAAAGGCAACACUCUCAUCAGACUACUAUUAAAUAGUUCCAACUUUUAUCAUUUGAAUCUAGUAUAUCAUGAACAUUGAUUUAACUUGCUACUUGCUAAUAAUGUUCAUCAUAAAAUCACUGGCACAAACCUGUCGCAAAUUUUCGCUUUUAGAUUUUAGUGGCCUGAUACGUUAAAACUGUAGCCGUUUCGAUACAACAUUUUUUCUGUCGAUGUUGUUGCACUUAUAGAUAUUUUCUGUAAUAACAAGUAUUGUUAUAAUUUUCCGCGACAACUAAUCUAAAUUAACUAUUAUUACUACAUUGUACAGAAUACAAUUUCAGUUUUAUUACAAACUUACCUUACAAUCGAAAUAAAAAUUAUCGCGGGCUUUUGAACACAUCAGAUAUUUUCUUUAAUAAUUAAUUAAUUUGUUUAUAAUUAAUUAGUCGUUUUUAGUUUUGUAAAAUUGUGACUUUUAUACGUCAAAACUAUUUUUGCUUUUAAUUUUGACACAAUAUUGUGCUGCGAUCAAAGAGUUUUGUAGCCAUUAAAAGUAACUGGCUGGUUUUUAACGCAAUCUAGUCUCAUUUAAAAGUUUUACAUGACUAAAUUGCCUAGCCUUGUACGCUAGAUGAUGUUGAUUACCGUGCCAUUUUUUUUUCAAUCAUUUAGUAUGCCGGUGUCACCCCCCUGCAGCAGCUAAGUAUAAAUAACGUCCCUUUAUUUUUCAAAAUUUCUUUAUUCUUAUCGAUUUUAUUUUUUUUUAUUUUAUUCCCUUUGAAUUUAUUAUAAUUCAAUAAGCUUCCUCCAAAUUUUAUAAUCUUCCUUAAGGAUUUUUAUUGAAUCCAUCUUUGGUUGAUAGCAAUCAAUAGAAUAGAUGUUAUGGUAGAAAAAAUAUUCAUAGGAAUAUUUUUAAUCAACAAUCUGGUUGUUAUCAUUCUUGCUUUACUGCUAAUCACAGCUGACUGGCCGCUCGCUACAGUCCGCGUAACGUUGAGUGAGCACGGCGCCUAGCCCAUACGCGCUGCUGUCCACCGACACUACAAGUUCGCGCCCCUCUUCGUAAUGCGCCAGUACCAGGAGGCCAGAUCUUGUGGAAAAUUUGAGGGGAAUUCCUCGUGAUGAAAUACCUCUUCUGCGACAUAACCUUUACCUAAAUUAAUCUGUCCCCGCCUAAGUGGUGGGCCUGUGCGCAAAUAAUAAUUUCUUUUAAAAUAACUAUGUUGUGUCUGUGUAAAUGCGUUAUUAGGAUUUGCUUAAAGCAUUUAAUUACAAUUUCCAAUUCA